AUCAGUCACCAGCCGUCAUUCCAAAGCAGACGAUUUUUAAUGGAUAACCAAUUACUAAAAAUGAAUAAAUAUUUUAUGAGAUGCGAGGAAUAUCAAAGAAAAUAUGAUGCGGUUUCAAAAAAGACUUUUGUGUUGAAGAUGUUAAAUAAAAUGAAAAGUGAAGAAAGUAUAAGUCAUGAUGAUCUACAGACCAUGAUCCAUCUAGUUCAGUCCCCCAGGGAAUUUAAUCUUUGUGUGGAUAUGGUUAGAAGAUAUCAAACAGCAAAGGUUAAUGCAUCUGAAAUGGCAAAGUUUGUCCACCUGUGAAUCACCAACUAGCAACGGUUCAAUCACCUAUAAAUAAGGAAACUGCCAAAGUUCAUGCACCUGCAGAAUACAACCAGCCAUGUUUCUAGCACCUAAAAUUCACCAAACUUCAAAGUUCAUGCUCCUGUAAAUCACCAAACAUCAUACAGCAAAGGUUCAUUUGUUUGCAAACCAUCAAAAUAACGAAGUUCGUUCUCCUGGUAACAACAAUGAUUGCAAGGUUUCUUCAUUUUCAAAUCACCAACUUGCCAAAGAUGAUACAUCCAUAACUGAUGAAACUGGUAAUGUUCCUAAUCCAGCAAAGUACCAGAAUGUCAAGUUGGACAUUAGGCCACAGUUCAUGAGGAUGUUGCAUCAUUUUAAGAAAGCAUAUAUCGCUAUUAUGUUUAUGGAAGAUAGGUCCACCAUGAGGAACUUUCUGUAUAACAACUCUGUAAUUGAUGUGUAUAUGGAUCUACUAUUCAAGACAGGAGAAUAUGAGAAAGUUGUGAAAACCUAUGAAGAAAUAGAUUAUUUUAAUGAACAAAAACUUACAAAUCAUAUGACACUGGUCAUGGCAGCUUUAUAUAAUUUAAAUACACAGGAAGCUUUGGAGAAAGCUGUUGAAAUCAUAUGUGACAAAUAUUUACAAGAUAUAACCGUGACACCACCAAAGGCAUAAGCAUAUGCUGCAGCUUUAGCAUUAAGACAGGAUGAUCCUAAUCUGGCAUUGAAUAUUCUACAGCUUGGUUCUGAAAGUCAUUCCAUAAAUAAUAUAAACUCAGCUAUAAGACUGAAUGCAUUGAAUGAUAUGGUCAAAAGAAAUAGUGAUCCAGAAAUUCUAGAGAAAUUUACAGAAAUGAAAAAUAAUUUACGACAAGCUGGACUAAUAAACUGUGUGACAUUAUUUCAAAAACUUUCACAUACUCUAUAUAGCAAUCCUCAUAAUAUAUGCAAAUGUGAAUUAAAUGGAUAUUUUACAUCUGAUAGAUGUAAUCCAGCGUAUAA